GGUUAAGCGACUAAGCGUACACGGUGGAUGCCCUGGCAGUCAGAGGCGAUGAAGGACGUGCUAAUCUGCGAAAAGCGUCGGUAAGGUGAUAUGAACCGUUAUAACCGGCGAUGUCCGAAUGGGGAAACCCAGUGUGAUUCGUCACACUAUCGUUAACUGAAUACAUAGGUUAACGAGGCGAACCGGGGGAACUGAAACAUCUAAGUACCCCGAGGAAAAGAAAUCAACCGAGAUUCCCCCAGUAGCGGCGAGCGAACGGGGAGCAGCCCAGAGUCUGAAUCAGCUUGUGUGUUAGUGGAACGGUCUGGAAAGUCCGACGGUACAGGGUGAUAGUCCCGUACACCAAAAUGCACAGGCUGUGAACUCGAAGAGUAGGGCGGGACACGUGGUAUCCUGUCUGAAUAUGGGGGGACCAUCCUCCAAGGCUAAAUACUCCUGACUGACCGAUAGUGAACCAGUACCGUGAGGGAAAGGCGAAAAGAACCCCGGCGAGGGGAGUGAAAAAGAACCUGAAACCGUGUACGUACAAGCAGUGGGAGCACCUUUAUGGUGUGACUGCGUACCUUUUGUAUAAUGGGUCAGCGACUUAUAUUCUGUAGCAAGGUUAACCGUAUAGGGGAGCCGCAGGGAAACCGAGUCUUAACUGGGCGUUAAGUUGCAGGGUAUAGACCCGAAACCCGGUGAUCUAGCCAUGGGCAGGUUGAAGGUUGGGUAACACUAACUGGAGGACCGAACCGACUAAUGUUGAAAAAUUAGCGGAUGACUUGUGGCUGGGGGUGAAAGGCCAAUCAAACCGGGAGAUAGCUGGUUCUCCCCGAAAGCUAUUUAGGUAGCGCCUCGUGAACUCAUCUUCGGGGGUAGAGCACUGUUUCGGCUAGGGGGUCAUCCCGACUUACCAACCCGAUGCAAACUACGAAUACCGAAGAAUGUUAUCACGGGAGACACACGGCGGGUGCUAACGUCCGUCGUGAAGAGGGAAACAACCCAGACCGCCAGCUAAGGUCCCAAAGUCAUGGUUAAGUGGGAAACGAUGUGGGAAGGCACAGACAGCCAGGAUGUUGGCUUAGAAGCAGCCAUCAUUUAAAGAAAGCGUAAUAGCUCACUGGUCGAGUCGGCCUGCGCGGAAGAUGUAACGGGGCUAAACCAUGCACCGAAGCUGCGGCAGCGACACUAUGUGUUGUUGGGUAGGGGAGCGUUCUGUAAGCCUGCGAAGGUGGCCUGUGAGGGUUGCUGGAGGUAUCAGAAGUGCGAAUGCUGACAUAAGUAACGAUAAAGCGGGUGAAAAGCCCGCUCGCCGGAAGACCAAGGGUUCCUGUCCAACGUUAAUCGGGGCAGGGUGAGUCGACCCCUAAGGCGAGGCCGAAAGGCGUAGUCGAUGGGAAACAGGUUAAUAUUCCUGUACUUGGUGUUACUGCGAAGGGGGGACGGAGAAGGCUAUGUUAGCCGGGCGACGGUUGUCCCGGUUUAAGCAUGUAGGCUGGUUAUCCAGGCAAAUCCGGAUAAUCAAGGCUGAGGUGUGAUGACGAGGCACUACGGUGCUGAAGUAACAAAUGCCCUGCUUCCAGGAAAAGCCUCUAAGCAUCAGGUAACAUCAAAUCGUACCCCAAACCGACACAGGUGGUCAGGUAGAGAAUACCAAGGCGCUUGAGAGAACUCGGGUGAAGGAACUAGGCAAAAUGGUGCCGUAACUUCGGGAGAAGGCACGCUGGUGUGUAGGUGAAGUCCCUGCGGAUGGAGCUGAGACCAGUCGAAGAUACCAGCUGGCUGCAACUGUUUAUUAAAAACACAGCACUGUGCAAACACGAAAGUGGACGUAUACGGUGUGACGCCUGCCCGGUGCCGGAAGGUUAAUUGAUGGGGUUAUCCGUAAGGAGAAGCUCUUGAUCGAAGCCCCGGUAAACGGCGGCCGUAACUAUAACGGUCCUAAGGUAGCGAAAUUCCUUGUCGGGUAAGUUCCGACCUGCACGAAUGGCGUAAUGAUGGCCAGGCUGUCUCCACCCGAGACUCAGUGAAAUUGAACUCGCUGUGAAGAUGCAGUGUACCCGCGGCAAGACGGAAAGACCCCGUGAACCUUUACUAUAGCUUGACACUGAACAUUGAGCCUUGAUGUGUAGGAUAGGUGGGAGGCUUUGAAGCGUGGACGCCAGUCUGCGUGGAGCCAACCUUGAAAUACCACCCUUUAAUGUUUGAUGUUCUAACGUUGGCCCCUUAUCGGGGUUGCGGACAGUGUCUGGUGGGUAGUUUGACUGGGGCGGUCUCCUCCCAAAGCGUAACGGAGGAGCACGAAGGUUAGCUAAUCCUGGUCGGACAUCAGGAGGUUAGUGCAAUGGCAUAAGCUAGCUUGACUGCGAGCGUGACGGCGCGAGCAGGUGCGAAAGCAGGUCAUAGUGAUCCGGUGGUUCUGAAUGGAAGGGCCAUCGCUCAACGGAUAAAAGGUACUCCGGGGAUAACAGGCUGAUACCGCCCAAGAGUUCAUAUCGACGGCGGUGUUUGGCACCUCGAUGUCGGCUCAUCACAUCCUGGGGCUGAAGUAGGUCCCAAGGGUAUGGCUGUUCGCCAUUUAAAGUGGUACGCGAGCUGGGUUUAGAACGUCGUGAGACAGUUCGGUCCCUAUCUGCCGUGGGCGCUGGAGAAUUGAGGGGGGCUGCUCCUAGUACGAGAGGACCGGAGUGGACGCAUCACUGGUGUUCGGGUUGUCAUGCCAAUGGCACUGCCCGGUAGCUAAAUGCGGAAGAGAUAAGUGCUGAAAGCAUCUAAGCACGAAACUUGCCCCGAGAUGAGUUCUCCCUGAGACUUUAAGUCUCCUGAAGGAACGUUGAAGACGACGACGUUGAUAGGCCGGGUGUGUAAGCGCAGCGAUGCGUUGAGCUAACCGGUACUAAUGAACCGUGAGGCUUAACCUU
rnacentral:rRNA from 1 species